rnacentral:tRNA from 1 species
CGGACUGUAGCGCAGUUUGGUAGCGCACUACGCUGGGGGUGUAGGGGCCGCAGGUUCAAAUCCUGUCAGUCCGACCA